rnacentral:rRNA from 1 species
GUGGGGAAUCUUGCGCAAUGGGCGAAAGCCUGACGCAGCCAUGCCGCGUGAAUGAUGAAGGUCUUAGGAUUGUAAAAUUCUUUCACCGGGGACGAUAAUGACGGUACCCGGAGAAGAAGCUCCGGCUAACUUCGUGCCAGCAGCCGCGGUAAUACGAAGGGGGCUAGCGUUGCUCGGAAUUACUGGGCGUAAAGGGCGCGUAGGCGGACAGCUUAGUCAGAGGUGAAAGCCCAGGGCUCAACCUUGGAAUUGCCUUUGAUACUGGCUGUCUUGAGUUUGGGAGAGGUGAGUGGAACUCCGAGUGUAGAGGUGAAAUUCGUAGAUAUUCGGAAGAACACCAGUGGCGAAGGCGACUCACUGGCCCAAUACUGACGCUGAGGCGCGAAAGCGUGGGGAGCAAACAGGAUUAGAAACCGAGUAGUCC